rnacentral:tRNA from 10 species
GAUUACGAUGUAAAUGGUUUACCCUUUGACUGCAAAUCUUAAGGAUUAGGUUCGAUUCCUACGUAAUCC